rnacentral:lncRNA from 1 species
AAAUCUCCAACAAGUAAACACAAAGUUCACCAAUUAAACACAACUUAAAGCAAAAUCAACCUUGAAUUUCAAACAAUUGAAUCUCACUAUGUAUAUGUAUCACUCAACUCUCAAUGUGUAGAAUGGGACGUGUAUACUCUCAUCGAAUUCAAUGCAAUGCAGAUCACUUACCAUAGGCUUGCCAAUCGUCUACAAUCUCCAUCGCUAAAAAUGUGCCAAGACUAAGAUCAAAUAGGUCUUUAUUUUUGGGUUAUAAUGUAGGGACAUUGGUUAAGGUAGGGAAAUAUAGGCUAAGUGACUCAAAUAAAUCAAGAACACCAACCUUAUGACUUCACGAAUCAAGCAUGGAAUAACUUUCAUCUUCCACCCAACAAUAUCACCAUAAUCAACACAACUCAAGGGAUUUAAUCAUCACUAUGCAGAACUAAACACUCUUUUAUGCUCUCAACUUCUUUCUAACAAACAAAGUCGACUUUCAAACAAAUAUCUCAAUAAACUCUCGACUUCACAUUUUUUUUCUUUUUCUUUUCUUUUUCUUUUCUCUUUUUUUUUCUUUUUUUCUUUUCUUUUCACAACUUUCUAGAGCUUAUAAGAGUAAAUAGUAUCACAAAAUCAUCCCUUCUUUUUCACACCCCACUAUGAAUAUUCACCACAUAAAGAUCCCCAUAUACUACAUCACCCCCUAUCAUCCGGCUAAAGAAUAAAAGCUAAAUAGGCUCAAAGUGGAUAACAAAGGAUAAUUUUUUUUAAGGACAGUGUUUGGGAAAAAUUGUGGCUAACAAAAGAUGGCCUAAAAUCAUCUCCUAAUCCUGGGCACAACAGCAACCUCAACACAGAAACCAUGGCAAGUUCUAGAAGAUCACCACAUGCAUGACAAAACUCACAACAAAGAAUAAACUGUGCAUGAUAAACAGUUAUAGCUCAAAUCCUCACAGGUUUAUUCAACGUCCCAAAAUCAAGGUCAAAAUCACCCUAAACUAUGCAAAUUAGUUCAAAUUAUACUCAACUUGUCAAAUAAUCUUGAAUUCUACAAAAUUUUAUCAAAGAAAUCAUCAUAAGCCCCUCACCAAAAUUCUAAUGGAGUAAUAACCAUCUCAAAAACAAUCACACACCACCAACCAAGCAGGAUAAAACAAUAAAGCUAACAAAAAGAUAAAAGUGAUACACAUAUCUACUCUCACCCCCCUCCCCCAAACUUAUUACAGAACAUAAGUUCGAAAAUAAGUUUGGAGGGAUGAUGAUAUGUGUGUCACUACUCACAGAAAAAACAUGCUCCAUGGUGGUGGUAUGAACCAAGCGCGAGUUCCCGCAUCUUCCAAGCUCAACGCUGCACUAAAAACCCAAAACAAAGAAAACAAAGAAAACAAAGAAAACAAAGAAACAAAAAGAAACUAAACGAAAGGAAAACAAAACAAAGAAAAUGGUUGGGUUACCUCCCAACAAGUGCUUAAUUUAACGUCUAGAGCUCGACGAUACCUCAUGGUCUCAAUGAACAUCAAACGCAGCAGGCGUGACAGAUCGCCUAACACGAACAGAGACAGAGGACUCAUGUGCAUCAGCUGCGUGAAAGACGACGCUUCCAUUGGGCACAUCUAUCAUAGCCCUCCCCGUACCUAAGAAUGAUCGACCAAGAAUCAAUGGCGGAUUUGUAUCUUCAGGAAUAUCGAGGACCAAGAAAUCCGUAGGGAAGACGAGCUUGUCAACCCUCACAAAGAUGUCUUCAA